UCUACGGGAGGCAGCAGUGGGGAAUAUUGCACAAUGGGCGAAAGCCUGAUGCAGCGACGCCGCGUGAGGGAUGACGGCCUUCGGGUUGUAAACCUCUUUCAGCAGGGACGAAGCGAAAGUGACUGUACCUGCAGAAGAAGCACCGGCUAACUACGUGCCAGCAGCCGCGGUAAUACGUAGGGUGCGAGCGUUGUCCGGAUUUAUUGGGCGUAAAGAGCUUGUAGGCGGCUCGUCACGUCGGGUGUGAAAACCCGCGGCUCAACCGCGGGCCUGCACCCGAUACGGGCGGGCUAGAGUUCGGCAGGGGAGACUGGAAUUCCUGGUGUAGCGGUGGAAUGCGCAGAUAUCAGGAGGAACACCGGUGGCGAAGGCGGGUCUCUGGGCCGAUACUGACGCUGAGAAGCGAAAGCGUGGGGAGCGAACAGGAUUAGAUACCCUGGUAGUCCACGCCGUAAACGUUGGGAACUAGGUGUGGGGUCCAUUCCACGGGCUCUGUGCCGCAGCUAACGCAUUAAGUUCCCCGCCUGGGGAGUACGGCCGCAAGGCUAAAACUCAAAGGAAUUGACGGA
rnacentral:rRNA from 1 species